GGUUGCGAUCAUACCAGCACUAACGCACCGGAUCCCAUCAGAACUCCGCAGUUAAGCGUGCUUUGGCGAGAGUAGUACUAGGAUGGGUGACCCCCUGGGAAGUCCUCGUGUUGCAACCC
rnacentral:rRNA from 1 species